rnacentral:rRNA from 1 species
CAGCAGCCGCGGUAAUACGAAGGGGGCUAGCGUUGCUCGGAAUGACUGGGCGUAAAGGGCGCGUAGGCGGUUUGUACAGUUGGAUGUGAAAUUCCUGGGCUUAACCUGGGGGCUGCAUUCAAUACGUGCAGGCUUGAGUGUGGAAGAGGGUUGUGGAAUUCCCAGUGUAGAGGUGAAAUUCGUAGAUAUUGGGAAUAACACCGGUGGCGAAGGCGGCAACCUGGUCCAUUACUGACGCUGAGGCGCGAAAGCGUGGGGAGCAAACAGGAUUAGAUACCCCGGUAGUCCCUGUCUCUUAUAC